GACGUAGGGGGCCAGCGUUGCUCGGAAUUACUGGGUGUAAAGGGUUCGUAGGCGGUGUGGCAAGUCGGGAGUGAAAUCUCUGGGCUCAACCCAGAGUCUGCUUCCGAAACUGCCGUGCUUGAGUGUGGGAGAGGCGCGUGGAAUUGCAGGUGUAGCGGUGAAAUGCGUAGAUAUCUGCAGGAACACCCGUGGCGAAGGCGACUUCCUGGCCUGUUCUUGACGCUGAGGCGCGAAAGCUAGGGUAGCAAACGGG
rnacentral:rRNA from 1 species